rnacentral:rRNA from 1 species
GAUGAACGCUGGCGGCGUGCCUAAUACAUGCAAGUCGAGCGAACAGACGAGGAGCUUGCUCCUCUGAUGUUAGCGGCGGACGGGUGAGUAACACGUGGAUAACCUACCUAUAAGACUGGGAUAACUUCGGGAAACCGGAGCUAAUACCGGAUAACAUGUUGAACCGCAUGGUUCAACAGUGAAAGACGGUCUUGCUGUCACUUAUAGAUGGAUCCGCGCCGCAUUAGCUAGUUGGUAAGGUAACGGCUUACCAAGGCAACGAUGCGUAGCCGACCUGAGAGGGUGAUCGGCCACACUGGAACUGAGACACGGUCCAGACUCCUACGGGAGGCAGCAGUAGGGAAUCUUCCGCAAUGGGCGAAAGCCUGACGGAGCAACGCCGCGUGAGUGAAGAAGGUCUUCGGAUCGUAAACCUCUGUUAUUAGGGAAGAACAAAUGUGUAAGUAACUAUGCACGUCUUGACGGUACCUAAUCAGAAAGCCACGGCUAACUACGUG